CUAGACCGAAAGUAGCUCCAUUCGCGUCUUUCAAAGUUGUUGCGGUAAAAAAGCUUCGUAGUUGGACUCUGUUGAGAACGACCGGUCCACACAACGUGUGCGCAUCUGGCUCGGUCUCGGCAUCCUCUCAAAAAACGACUCUGCGCUUGAUUGCGUGGAUCGGAGUUUGGGACUUUUACUUUGAGGAAAUUAGAGUGUUCACGGCAGGCCAUCGCCAGAAUACAUUAGCAUGGAAUAAUACUAUAGGAUCUUGAUCCUAUUUUGUUGGUUUCUAGGAGCAAGAUAAUGAUUAAUAGGGACAAUUGGGGGCAUUCGUAUCAACACGUCAGAGGUGGAAUUCUUGGAUUGUGUUGCGACGAACUACUGCGAAAGCAUUUGCCAAGGAUGUUUUCAUUGAUCAAGAACGAAAGUUAGGGGAUCGAAGACGAUUAGAUACCGUCGUAGUCUUAACCAUAAACUAUGCCAACUAGAGAUUGGACAUCGUUCAUGUACGACUUGUUCAGCAUCUUAUGAGAUAUCAAAGUUUUUGGGUUCCGGGGGGAGUAUAGUCGCAAGUCCGAAACUUAAAGGAAUUGACGGAAGGGCACCACCAGGAGUGGAGCCUGCGGCUUAAUUUGACUCAACACGGGGAAACUCACCAGGUCCAGACAUAAUAAGGAUUGACAGAUUGAUAGCUCUUUCUUGAUUUUAUGGGUGGUGGUGCAUGGCCGUUCUUAGUUCGUGGAGUGAUUUGUCUGCUUAAUUGCGUUAACGAACGAGACCUUAACCUGCUAAAUAGGAGCGCAUAUCUCCGGAUAAGCGCCUUUCUUCUUAGAGGGACUUUAUGCGUUUCAGCAUGAGGAAGUUUGAGGCUAAAACAGGUCUGUGAUGCCCUUAGAUGUUCUGGGCUGCACGCGCGCUACACUGAUGCGUUCAACGAGUGUACAACCUUGCCCGAUAGGGGUUGGGUAACCUUUUGAACACGCAUCGUGAUGGGGAUAAGAGUAUUGUAAAUA
rnacentral:rRNA from 1 species